GCGGAAGUAGCUCAGUUGGUAGAGCACAACCUUGCCAAGGUUGGGGUCGCGAGUUCGAGCCUCGUCUUCCGCUCCA
rnacentral:tRNA from 2 species